rnacentral:lncRNA from 1 species
GGAAGCACACAAGUGUACUGUAAGGUACCGGACUUCUAAAAACAAUGAAGUUACGGUGUACAUUUAAGUAAUUCCGGUGAGGUUGCGCUGGAAUGUAAUAUACCGGAUUUUAAAUGUAAAAGUGGAAAUAAAUAAAAAUAGUGUGGGAUACUAUUUUUAUUGGACUUAUAGACAUAAAUUAUAAGUCUAGAGUGACCCGUGUUGAAAUGGAAGCGAAAACAGAAGAUUUAGAAUUUUCUGUGAGAGACGGGGCAGACGAAAAAUAUCCGUACCGUGCUGCUAAACUGAAUGUGAAUAGUGUUCUUGGAUAACUUGGAGG